rnacentral:rRNA from 1 species
GGUUAAGCGACUAAGCGUACACGGUGGAUGCCCUGGCAGUCAGAGGCGAUGAAGGACGUGCUAAUCUGCGAUAAGCGUCGGUAAGGUGAUAUGAACCGUUAUAACCGGCGAUUUCCGAAUGGGGAAACCCAGUGUGUUUCGACACACUAUCAUUAACUGAAUCCAUAGGUUAAUGAGGCGAACCGGGGGAACUGAAACAUCUAAGUACCCCGAGGAAAAGAAAUCAACCGAGAUUCCCCCAGUAGCGGCGAGCGAACGGGGAGCAGCCCAGAGCCUGAAUCAGUGUGUGUGUUAGUGGAAGCGUCUGGAAAGGCGCGCGAUACAGGGUGACAGCCCCGUACACAAAAAUGCACAUACUGUGAGCUCGAUGAGUAGGGCGGGACACGUGGUAUCCUGUCUGAAUAUGGGGGGACCAUCCUCCAAGGCUAAAUACUCCUGACUGACCGAUAGUGAACCAGUACCGUGAGGGAAAGGCGAAAAGAACCCCGGCGAGGGGAGUGAAAAAGAACCUGAAACCGUGUACGUACAAGCAGUGGGAGCACGCUUCGGCGUGUGACUGCGUACCUUUUGUAUAAUGGGUCAGCGACUUAUAUUCUGUAGCAAGGUUAACCGAAUAGGGGAGCCGAAGGGAAACCGAGUCUUAACUGGGCGUUAAGUUGCAGGGUAUAGACCCGAAACCCGGUGAUCUAGCCAUGGGCAGGUUGAAGGUUGGGUAACACUAACUGGAGGACCGAACCGACUAAUGUUGAAAAAUUAGCGGAUGACUUGUGGCUGGGGGUGAAAGGCCAAUCAAACCGGGAGAUAGCUGGUUCUCCCCGAAAGCU